GGGUCGUUAGCUCAGUUGGUAGAGCAGUUGACUUUUAAUCAAUUGCGAGUCAUCCUGCACGACCCACCA
rnacentral:tRNA from 1 species